rnacentral:rRNA from 1 species
AUCCAGACUCCUACGGGAGGCAGCAGUGGGGAAUAUUGCACAAUGGGGGAAACCCUGAUGCAGCAACGCCGCGUGAGUGAAGAAGUAUUUCGGUAUGUAAAGCUCUAUCAGCAGGGAAGAAGAUGACGGUACCUGAUUAAGAAGCCCCGGCUAACUACGUGCCAGCAGCCGCGGUAAUACGUAGGGGGCAAGCGUUAUCCGGAUUUACUGGGUGUAAAGGGAGCGUAGACGGCAGUGCAAGUCCGGAGUGAAAGCCCGGGGCCCAACCCCGGGACUGCUCUUGGAACUGCGUGGCUGGAGUGCAGGAGGGGCAGGCGGAAUUCCUGGUGUAGCGGUGAAAUGCGUAGAUAUCAGGAGGAACACCGGUGGCGAAGGCGGCCUGCUGGACUGCAACUGACGUUGAGGCCCGAAAGCGUGGGGAGCAAACAGGAUUAGAUACCCUAGUAC